CUAAUCCCCUCUAACCCUAACAGCCACCAAAACCCUCCCCCAACACCCAGUAGCAGCAACGCUGCAAUAAGAAAGAAAAACGAAGCAGAAAGGAAGAGAGAGUCAGAGAGCUGCGGCAGGAGAGGAAGAGAGGGAUGAGCCAACGCUGGUGGGCCUCGUCGCCACCGCCAAGCUGCUCGCCACUCACCGCCAUCGUCGCUGGUGUGACGCGGAGGAGGGAGCCAGAGGAGAAGAACGGCACCGUUCCUCGUCACGGCCAAAGCUCACCGCGUCGCCGUCGCACUCACCGCGUCGCGCCACCGCUGUAGUCCUUGUCGUCGCCGUCCUGUGGAGCUGCCGCCGGACUGCUGUGCGUGAGGAGCUCGUGAUGUCCCCACCAUUGACGUUGCGGAGGAGAGAGCCCAAAGGAGAGAGACUGCGCGACAAUGAGGGAGGAGGACACGGGCUAGUGACGCGAGGAGCGCGACUCGCUACGCUGCCGUGUGCUAUCGCCGCCGUCGAGCUCCCAUGGCAACCACCGGCAAGAUUCAAAAGAGAGAGAAGCUCGAGGAGAGAGAGAGAGAUCGGCAGAGGGAGGGUUUCUGUUCGUGCAGCCGUGCCUCCCUGCCUUAGAUUCCUCACCGUCUCCACUGUUUUUCACCACCGCUGAUGUUGUCCGUCGCCGUUGCUUGCCAUUCGGAGCGACUACAUCGCUGUUUCUGCCGUUCUGCUCACCGGGUGUGGCGCGGUUGUUGCGGAACCAUCGCCGAAAUUUCUGGCCGCUUUUGCCGCUUGAGACCCUGCUGCCGUCGCCAAAAAAUUUUGUCGGUCGCCGCUACCGCUUGAGGUGGCUACCGGGAUGUCGUCGAACUGGUUCAGAGCCCGACACUAUUUCAUUUCGCUAGUUCAAGCUGUUUAUGCUGCCGCAAAAAUGUGUGGGGCUGUGAUUUGAAGCUGACGUUGAUUUUGGGUCGAGUCAAAAGGAUUUUUGAGAGGCGUUUGGACUAUAGUUUCAAUUUGUCGAGGUCUUUUUUUUUCAGGUUACGAACGACGAAGUUCGGAAGAGUUUAUUUCUUUUCUGUUAGACGAUGUUUCUGUAUUGUUUUAGUAUUUAUGUUUUCCUUGCCUUUAACUCUGCAAGUUUUGUAAGAGGGAUAGGAUUUUGAUAUGAGAUGCUCGUAAAUUAAUAUGUAUAUA